AAAACACACAAUGGAUUUGGUGCUGAUGUGGGUUUUCCUUGUUGCUUUUUUAAAAGGUGUCCAGUCUGAGGUGAAGCUUGUGGAGUCUGGAGGAGGUCUGGUGAAGCCUGGGGGAUCCCUGAGACUCUCCUCUGUAGCCUCUGGAUUCACUUUCAGUGACUACUGGAUGCACUGGUUUCGCCAAGCUCCAGGGAAGGGGCUGGAGUGGGUUGGAGAUAUUAAUAAAGACAGCAGUACAACAAACUAUGCACCAUUUGUGAAGGAUCGAUUCACCAUCUCCAGAGACAAUGCCAAAAACACUCUGUACCUGCAAAUGAACAGUGUGAGAUCUGAGGACACAGCCACUUAUUACUGUGCUCGAGACACUGUGAUGGGUGCAUUUGACAAAUUUGGAGAAGAUACUCCAUUAACUAUCCUAUCACCACGAGGUGUUGGCUUACCAAGAAAAAUUCUAGCCUACAUUCGUCUCAGGUCGGAGAAUCACGGUGUCUGA